UCCCGUGUUUUACCUAGUGCCUGAUCUUGCUCAUCAAUGACUUCACAGAGAUAAUGAAAAUAUAGCAGUGCUAACACUACACUUCUAACCAAUGCAGACACAGAUCAAAAGUACAUGGUUCUCACAGAGAGAGAGAGAGAGAGAGGACGUGCCAUUAUUCUCUUCCUCCAGCUUCUUUGAGUCCAACUGAAAUGCGAGUCUUUGAUGUAAUCCACAGUGGUGCUUACAGUGAAUGAGCUUUAUGUGCCUUGCUGAGGAGAUCACCAGGGUUAGCUGAGACUAAGGAUUUGGGGAUGUUGGUGCCAGCAGACAGUUCUUCCUGUGGAAAAUUCAGAGAUACUCCAACUACAAAGUACAAGAGUGAGACAGAGUGUGAAACAACCUGUGGUCUUCAAGUGCUUUAAUUACCUUUGCGCCACAGUCAGUGACCACACUCGCUGUUCAUUUCUAUGAAAAAGAGCCAUUCUUGUGAUUUCAGUUAUUUUUGCAGAUGGAAAGUCUCAUGAGCCUUUCCAAGUCCUCCUAGACACAAUUUCAGUGGGGCCUUGCAAGUGGUUACAGUGAAUGAAGAAAAGGAGUCAAUGAACAGUGACAGCUAUAUAAUCUAAUAUCUGAUGGUCUGUCCACAUAUGUGCCAUCAAAUGCACAACUCUCCUCUCAGCAUCCAAGUUCUUGCAUCAGU